rnacentral:rRNA from 1 species
UACGUAGGGUGCGAGCGUUGCCCGGAUUUAUUGGGCGUAAAGGGCGCGUAGGCGGCUACGCACGUCCGUUGUGAAAUCGCUCGGCUCAACUGGGCGGGGUCAGCGGAUACGGCGUAGCUGGAGCAAGCUAGGGGGCAAUGGAAUUCCCGGUGUAGUGGUGGAAUGCGUAGAUAUCGGGAGGAACACCAGUGGCGAAGGCGGUUGCCUGGAGCUUUGCUGACGCUGAUGCG